CACCUCUCAGGGUUGCACCUGGAGAGUUUCCAGUACUCUAUCAUUCUCGACUAUGGGAGGAGGAGUCAAGCAAAGACAUAUCCAUUCCAUUCCUAGCUUGGGUAGUGGCUAGUGAGUGGAAGGCAAUCUGCUACAAGU